rfam:Chlamydiae bacterium RIFCSPHIGHO2_12_FTLL_27_8 rifcsphigho2_12_scaffold_5807, whole genome shotgun sequence.
GAAGGAAAAAGGCCCUUCGACAUCGGUAUUCAGAUGCAGGUGUCAAACCACUUCAAGCUGCUGGUGUAAAGAGCACUAGUGGUGAGCAUUGAAUGAAAGUCUAGCAAAAGCUAGGCGAGG